ACGGUGGUGGCCAAGUGGAUAAGGCGUCUGCCUACGGAGCAGAAGAUGGUGCGGUACGCGCGCCUUCCGUGUGGGUUCGACCCCCAUCCACCGUG